rnacentral:misc_RNA from 1 species
UCUUGCUGUACUUCUGUAUUUACAGCCAAUUGUGGGAGCCAGUGUUCUCAUUUAUGUUAGACUGGUUUAUAGUGGGUAGAUUGAUGAUAUGUGGUGAAUGCCAAGUGCCAACAGUAUUUAUAUAGUGCUAAGAGGGAAAGAAUUACUUUUGUUGAUCCCUCUCACUAUUUUAAGGGGUCGUGAAGAAGGAAAAGGAGCAGAAAAGCUUUUGAUUGGUGAUGAGUUGCAUUUUUUUUCAUUAUUUGAGAUGGAUGGUUUAUUUAAAUAUGUGAAUGACCUUCAGAUGUGAUGUGCAGGAAGUUCUAGACCUCAUAAUAUUGUUAAUAUUAUUUUGUAAAUGGAUUGGCACUCCCUAGGUGAAUGGAAUGUUGUAUCUUUUUACAAAAUUAAGAAAGA